AAAUUGAAGAGUUUGAUCAUGGCUCAGAUUGAACGCUGGCGGCAGGCCUAACACAUGCAAGUCGAGCGGUAGCACAGAGAGCUUGCUCUCGGGUGACGAGCGGCGGACGGGUGAGUAAUGUCUGGGAAACUGCCUGAUGGAGGGGGAUAACUACUGGAAACGGUAGCUAAUACCGCAUAACGUCGCAAGACCAAAGUGGGGGACCUUCGGGCCUCAUGCCAUCAGAUGUGCCCAGAUGGGAUUAGCUAGUAGGUGGGGUAACGGCUCACCUAGGCGACGAUCCCUAGCUGGUCUGAGAGGAUGACCAGCCACACUGGAACUGAGACACGGUCCAGACUCCUACGGGAGGCAGCAGUGGGGAAUAUUGCACAAUGGGCGCAAGCCUGAUGCAGCCAUGCCGCGUGUGUGAAGAAGGCCUUCGGGUUGUAAAGCACUUUCAGCGGGGAGGAAGGCGUUAAGGUUAAUAACCUUGGCGAUUGACGUUACCCGCAGAAGAAGCACCGGCUAACUCCGUGCCAGCAGCCGCGGUAAUACGGAGGGUGCAAGCGUUAAUCGGAAUUACUGGGCGUAAAGCGCACGCAGGCGGUCUGUCAAGUCGGAUGUGAAAUCCCCGGGCUCAACCUGGGAACUGCAUUCGAAACUGGCAGGCUAGAGUCUUGUAGAGGGGGGUAGAAUUCCAGGUGUAGCGGUGAAAUGCGUAGAGAUCUGGAGGAAUACCGGUGGCGAAGGCGGCCCCCUGGACAAAGACUGACGCUCAGGUGCGAAAGCGUGGGGAGCAAACAGGAUUAGAUACCCUGGUAGUCCACGCCGUAAACGAUGUCGAUUUGGAGGUUGUGCCCUUGAGGCGUGGCUUCCGGAGCUAACGCGUUAAAUCGACCGCCUGGGGAGUACGGCCGCAAGGUUAAAACUCAAAUGAAUUGACGGGGGCCCGCACAAGCGGUGGAGCAUGUGGUUUAAUUCGAUGCAACGCGAAGAACCUUACCUGGUCUUGACAUCCACAGAACUUUCCAGAGAUGGAUUGGUGCCUUCGGGAACUGUGAGACAGGUGCUGCAUGGCUGUCGUCAGCUCGUGUUGUGAAAUGUUGGGUUAAGUCCCGCAACGAGCGCAACCCUUAUCCUUUGUUGCCAGCGGUUCGGCCGGGAACUCAAAGGAGACUGCCAGUGAUAAACUGGAGGAAGGUGGGGAUGACGUCAAGUCAUCAUGGCCCUUACGACCAGGGCUACACACGUGCUACAAUGGCAUAUACAAAGAGAAGCGACCUCGCGAGAGCAAGCGGACCUCAUAAAGUAUGUCGUAGUCCGGAUUGGAGUCUGCAACUCGACUCCAUGAAGUCGGAAUCGCUAGUAAUCGUAGAUCAGAAUGCUACGGUGAAUACGUUCCCGGGCCUUGUACACACCGCCCGUCACACCAUGGGAGUGGGUUGCAAAAGAAGUAGGUAGCUUAACCUUCGGGAGGGCGCUUACCACUUUGUGAUUCAUGACUGGGGUGAAGUCGUAACAAGGUAACCGUAGGGGAACCUGCGGUUGGAUCACCUACUUA
rnacentral:rRNA from 1 species